rnacentral:rRNA from 1 species
AACGAACGCUGGCGGCAGGCUUAACACAUGCAAGUCGAACGCAUCGCAAGAUGAGUGGUAGACGGGUGAGUAACGCGUGGGAACAUACCCUUUCCUGCGGAAUAGCUCUGGGAAACUGGAAUUAAUACCGCAUACGCCCUACGGGGGAAAGAUUUAUCGGGGAAGGAUUGGCCCGCGUUGGAUUAGCUAGUUGGUGGGGUAAAGGCCUACCAAGGCGACGAUCCAUAGCUGGUCUGAGAGGAUGAUCAGCCACAUUGGGACUGAGACACGGCCCAAACUCCUACGGGAGGCAGCAGUGGGGAAUAUUGGACAAUGGGCGCAAGCCUGAUCCAGCCAUGCCGCGUGAGUGAUGAAGGCCUUAGGGUUGUAAAGCUCUUUCACCGAUGAAGAUAAUGACGGUAGUCGGAGAAGAAGCCCCGGCUAACUUCGUGCCAGCCGCCGCCGUAACAC